UACGGAGGAUCCAAGCGUUAUCCGGAUUUAUUGGGUUUAAAGGGUGCGUAGGCGGCUCAUUAAGUCAGGGGUGAAAGACGGUAGCUUAACUAUCGCAGUGCCUUUGAUACUGAUGAGCUUGAAUGUAGUUGAGGUAGGCGGAAUGUGACAAGUAGCGGUGAAAUGCAUAGAUAUGUCACAGAACACCAAUUGCGAAGGCAGCUUACUAAAGUAUGAUUGACGCUGAGGCACGAAAGCGUGGGGAGCAAACAGG
rnacentral:rRNA from 1 species